GACAGGAUUUAGUCUUUUGGAUAGGAGCCUAUCAGCAUGGCACAUCUUGCCUUGGGAUCUUUACCAACUCUUCCUUGCAAAAGCAUUCUAAAUCUGUCAGAUUGUGAGAUCAUCUCCUGUUGCACAGCCCUAUUCAGGUCACCCUACAGAUUUUCAAUUGGAUUCAGGUUUGAGUUCUGACUGGGCCUUCCAAAAAUUUGAUUUUCUGGUGAAGCCAUUAUUUUGUUGAUUUGAAUAUUCCUCUUCAUCUUUAGCAUUUUAGCACAGAUCUGAAAGUUUUAUGUCAAAAUUGACCAGUAUUUGGAAUUGUUCGUCUUUCCCUACACCUUGACUAAAAUCCUAAUUCCAGCUAAAGAAAAAGCAGCCCCAAAUCAUAAAGCUGCCAUUACUAUGCUUCACUGUGGGUACGCUGUACUUUUGGUGAUAUGUUUCUGCACCAAACAUAUUUUUUGGAAUUGUGACCAAAAAGUUCAACUUUAGUCUCAUCAGGCCACAACAUGUAUUUCUCGCAUGGUUUCGUUAGAUUUUUGUAAAUAUCAGAUUUGGAUGUUUUUCUUUGUAAGAAAACAUUUCUAUCUUGCCACCUUACCCUGCAGCCAAGGGAAUAUGAAGAAUACAAGAGAUUGUUGUUGCAUGUAGUACAUAACCAAUACUUGCCAUAAAUCCUUUAAUGUUGCUGUAGGCAUCAUGGCAGCUUCUCAGACUAAUUUUCUUAUUCUUUUUCAUCAAUUUGGGAAGGAUGUCAACUUCUUUACGCCAUUAGUGUGCCAUAUUUUCUCUACUUGUUGAUUACUGUCUUCACUGUGUUCCAUGGUAUAGCCAAUGCCUGGAAAAUUUUUUGUACCCUUCUCCUAACUGAUAUCUUCCAACAAUGAGAUCCCCUUGAUGCUUUGGAAGCUCUUCGCAGACCAUGCCUUUUGCUGUACGAGACAACUGAGUACAUGUCAGAAAAAUCCUACUAGAAAACAUCAACUUUAUAUGGGUUUAAUCAAGGUCACUUUAAUUAAUGACAGAAAUGAUUGCCUUCAUUGUCUUGCUAAGUCUUGCUGCAGUGCUGCAACAGUCUUCUGGAACUGUAAGUUUCAUAAUUUUGUAUCACGUA